AAGCAAAAAAACUAUGUAAAAAAAAAAUCUCUCCGGAACAUACACUGGUGAAGACCCCAUUUGCUGCAUCUCCGGAGUCCAGUACAGCCAGAUUUUCCCCUGGGGAUGGACAAGACAGACACUACAUUGUCCAGAGAGCCCCAACUCACUAGAGGCCCUGGCCUUAGGGCCCAUGCUGUAUGAAAGCUCCUCGUCUUCAGCCACGAGGGGCACGAGCACUGAGGGGACACAUGGGAGACGCAGCUGGCAGGCAGCGCGUCACAGCUGCUGCGUGUGGUCUCCUCUGGAGCCUACAGAUCCCAGCUCUGCAGCUCUAGCUGGGUGAUCAAGGGCAAGGUCCUUCCUUAGUCUCUCUAAGCCUCUUUCUCCCGUUCUGUAAAAUGGGAGUAAGAACAACAUUUACCUCACUGAGUCCAGGAGAAUGCAGUGGGCUAGAACAAGUAAGGCACUUGCAACGGAUUGGCCCAUCCUGAGCUUGCAAUAAAUGGACCCAGGCUAUGUUAGUCAGCAUCAAUGCCACUCAGUGCUAAAGUUCCUGCUGGAACUCUUGUGAGAUGCACUUCUUUCCACCGGAGUUGCUGAGAGCACUGGAUCUAAGCCUGGGGCUGCUGACCACCGUCUUUCUUAGAGACCAUCUGCCUAGAAAAGGAGACAACACAGGGAGAAGCCCUGCUGGAGCACCCGGACACAGCCUUGCCUGAAGCCAUCGACUCUGCACUUUUAUGUUACGUGAGCCGAUAUUUCUUUUUCUGUUAAGCUGGUUUGAUUAGGUUUUCUGUCACUUGCAACCUAGAAAGUCCUGCUGAUCCUGAGGCAGAACACACAGAAUGGCUUUUGGAGUUGCUUCGGUGCCACACCUCCGUCAUUUGCCCUGGGAGUUCUGUAGCCGGCUGCCAGUGGACACUCCUGCCCAACAGGCUCGGGCUCCUCCGGGAGCCUUGGGGCAAAUCAUCAAGGCCACCCAACCUCACUCCUUCACACCUGAAACCCUUUCUUCCCCUGAUCCUCCUGUCCCCUCAUUUCUCCUCCCUCUUCCCCUUCUCAGAGACUGUCUUCUUUCCUGCUUUCCUAAGAGGAUGAAUUAAGGACCAAUUAAGGCUGAGUGUGGAAUUUGGAAUCAUCCACCCCAGACAGCAGAGAUCAAGCAUCAGCCCCAAGGCAUGUGGGAGCUUAGGUCCCUGACCAGGGAUCAAACCCGCACCUCCUGCAUUGGAAGUCUUAACCACUGGACCGCAGGGAAUUCCCACACAUAGGUCACCUGAGUCAUGGAACAAGUCUCCACUCAUCUAUUUAUCCACCACUGUUGCAACAUCAGCUUCUCUCAAUAACUAGAGCUUUGUAACAAGCCUUAUGUCUGCCACUGUCACUCUAUCUUCUGCAUGUGUGCCCAGCCCCCGUCCCCGCACGCGAUGGACACUGAGUUGCUGUGCCUGGAUGUUGUGAACCUGCUCCCUGCUCAUAAGCAGCUGGGCCCAGCAGGACGUCUCAGAUCAAGAGGCUGGCUCUGCCCACCAACUGGCUGUGUGACCCUCGGCAAGUGUCUCAACCUCUCUGAGCUUCAGUUUCUUGUAUGGAAACUGGCAGUCAUAAUAGACCUACAUCCCCCAUAGGACUGAAAUGAGGAUCGCAUGAGUUAAUGCAUGAACAGUGCCAGGCACAUGGUAAGCACCUUAGACACUAACAAUUUGUGUUACUACUAAUCCACUUAAAUAAAAUGUAUUUGAGAACCUUUUGUAUACCA